rnacentral:rRNA from 1 species
UACAGGGGGUGCAAACGUUGCUCGGAAUCAUUGGGCGUAAAGUGCACGUAGGCGGUUCGUUAUGUCGGAUGUGAAAGCCCUUGGCUUAACCGAGGAAGUGCAUCCGAAACUGGCGAGCUAGAGUACGAAAGAGGAUCGCGGAAUUCCCGGUGUAGAGGUGAAAUUCGUAGAUAUCGGGAGGAACACCGGUGGCGAAGGCGGCGAUCUGGGUCGAUACUGACGCUGAGGUGCGAAAGCGUGGGGAGCAAACAGG